rnacentral:lncRNA from 1 species
UAAGGUUAAGGUGUGGCAAUGGGUAUAUGCAUGUCUAGGAUUGGAUCUAGGGAGAGCUUGGUACUUAAGCGGUCUUAAUGACUCACCUCCACUUCUCUGGAAUCCUACCUGGUGCAUAGUAUCUGUUCACUUUAGCCAACGAGGACUUGUUAGCAGGCCAAGGUAAGUAAUAAACCCAUAAUCGUCUAAAGUAUCCCUCUAACUAUCUAUUGUAUAACAAUUUAAAAAGGCUUAAGAACAAAAGAACUACUUGGUUUGACAUCGAAGACUCGGUGUGCCGCUCAGCAAGACUUCCCC